GGAACAACUCUUGCUGUUCUUACUACCUUGACAUUGGGAACAUCAAUGGCUGCUCGUCAAGGUCCAGUAGCUAUGGCUGCUCAUCAGAUAUGUAUACAAGUUUGGUUGGCUGUAUCCCUUCUAACUGAUGCAAUGGCUGCAUCUGGUCAGGCCCUGAUUGCUACUUAUUUAUGUAAAGGUGAAUACAAAAUUGUGAAAGAAGUUGCUGACUCCGUGUUAAAGAACAAGUGUUAGAAGGCCAUAAAGAAAUAGCCACAAGUUCUGAUACAUGUACAUAAAAAGUGUGAAGUUCAAACCUACAGACGACAAGAGAAGAAGGAAGCUCUGUCCCAUAGAGGUGAUCCGUGGAGUAAACAUGUUUAUGCCACCAUUCCAAAUUGACUGGCCCCUCGAAUUGCACAAUGGCAAUAUGCUCUCCUCCUGCGACUCUAAAGUAGGCAAAACACUGGUGUUGGAA